GNAAGGAAGGGCGCAGCCUGGAUCCAGCCAUACCGCGUGGGUGAAGAAGGCCUUCGGGUUGUAAAGCCCUUUUGUUGGGAAAGAAAUCCAACUGGUUAAUACCCGGUUGGGAUGACGGUACCCAAAGAAUAAGCACCGGCUAACUUCGUGCCAGCAGCCGCGGUAAUACGA
rnacentral:rRNA from 1 species